rnacentral:lncRNA from 1 species
AGCUUGGUCUUUCUUGACAGAGAGUGUAUUAUCCCUUUUCUUGGAAGUACUAUAGCAUUCUAGAGGUUGCAGAUUAUCCUCUCCUAGACUAAUAUUAUUCUUUUCUUAAUAUUCUUUUGGUUUUUUUUCUUUAUAUCAUAGAUCAAGUUUUUUUCUUUUGAAGGCAUGUGUUUCUAUGAUUUUUUAUGGCAGAAGGUGGAAAAGUCAAUAUGACAAUCUCUAAAGAGAUUAAGUUAGAUUCUAUUAUUAAUGCUCUUAAAGCAUUAAGGAUUAGAAUAAAGACUUUGUCAAAGUAGAAUGAAGAAUAAUAUAUGACCAUACAUAAUGGUCAAGGAGUCGGAGUGCCUCAACUACCACAUCAAAUUGCAACAAAGGUUUCAAAUUCUCAAAUGAUUAUGUCUACUUCAAACAUAGGAGGUGCAUCCACUCAAGGCA